rnacentral:rRNA from 1 species
GACGAACGCUGGCGGCGUGCUUAACACAUGCAAGUCGAGCGGUAAGGCCCUUUCGGGGUACACGAGCGGCGAACGGGUGAGUAACACGUGGGUGACCUCGCCCUCAGCUCGUGGGAUAAGCCGUGGGAAACCGGGUCUAAUACCGGAUAUGACUCCAUGACGCAUGUUGGUGGGGUGGAAAGCCUUGUGCGGCUGAGGAUGGGCCCGCGGCCUAUCAGCUUGUU